CGGAGAGCGGCCGCCCGCAGGAUGCUGCUGCGCGCCGGCUCUCCGCGUCCCCCCUCUCCGCGCUCCGCCGCGAUCCCCGAACGUGCGGAGGGAAGGAGGAGGGCGGGCAAGGGAGGCGCGGGGAGGGAGGAGCGCGGGGGGAGGAGGAGGUGGGGAAGGAGGAGGAGGAGGAGAGGAUCGCGCUGCCGGCGGAAUGGGAAGUUUGACAAAUCGCUCCCGAGGCCCGAGGAGGAGGGGGCGGGGAGCAACGGCGGCCCUGCCCCCCCCCGCCCCGUCCCCAGACGAGGUGCGCGGGGUUCGGGGCCGGGGGGCGGGGAGAGGGGAAGGAGGAGGGCAGAGAGGUGGGAGGAGGGGCGCGGGAGCGGCCCCGGCCGGUCUGGCCCCGUCCCCCGCCCCCGGGCAGGGGGUCACGGCAUCCGUGGGGCUCUCGGCCGCCGCCGCGGCCCGGGGCUCAGCGGUCCAGUCUUCUGCCCGAGGCGCGGCUGGAGCGGCGGCGUCGGCAACAGAUGCGCCGGGCGAGCCGGACGGGCGGGCCGCGAAGAGGAGGAGCUGGCUGGGCUGCGUGGGCGGUGGGACAACGCGGGCUCACUUACUAGCGGCCGCGAGGGCGCGGGUGAGCUGGAGCUCAUCGGGACGACCCCCGGGUGGCCACGGCCGAGCGGGAGCCGGAGCCGGAGCAGCGCGGGCGGCGGCGUAUCGAUGCGCUGCGGGCUCGAUUGCGUCUCCCUGGGCCAGCUCUCGGGCCGGGAAUGGGGCGGCCGCGGCGGGGCUGGCUCCAGGCGCUGCCGGGCUGCGGUGGUGGGAGUAUGGGGGCGGCCUCCAGGCCCACGAUCCCCAAGGCAGCGCUUCUCCUGGGAGUGUCUGCUAGGGCUCAGGGUCUCCUCUGGGCCCCGCGUCCAUAGCCCUGGCGAGGGCCGGAGCCCCGCGCCCUGGGACUGGCUGCUUAAUGUUCCCGGAGCUGCAAACCCCGGCCUUCUUCUUCCUUCGUUUCUUUCUCCCCCCGCCCUUCCCCCCUCUAUGUUUCUUUUUUAGCUUCUCUGUCUUCUUUUGGCCUCCUCUUUAUUUUUUUCUUUGUGAUUGUUUUUGCAAGUUUGUUUUAAAAGUUCACAGUCAUGCUUUCUUUUCUUUUAGAAAGGAGACCGUGAUCUCACCCUGACGGUAAGAUCAAAAGUCUCUGCUCUUCCCCAGCCUGCGGGCUUGGGCUCGAUCCAGACGCCUCCCUGAAUGCAGAUGUGCCGCCGCCAUCCUCCCGGGCUAUAAAGCCUCCUCCAGCGCCUUUGCGCGCGCAGGAGCGCACUGAGUUGCGGGGUGCAGACCCCGGGCGGUCGCGGGGAUUCGGAGUCUGGCUGCAGCUGGGCUCCAGGACUGGCCGUGUAUGGCAACUCGGGGGCGGGAGCGGGGGCGCAGCGUGCAGUUGGUGUCUGCGGCCGCAGAGGCCGGAGCUACUACUGCCCCUCCAGGCCAGGGAGACGCAGCCGUGGGGCAUGAAACGCUUCUUGCGAACGAGGAAACGGUGAGUUGGCAGACGCCGCCCGUGGCCUCACGAUUCUAGUCGCAGCGCCGGGCCCUCAUCCCUGGAGGAAGGAGAAUGAAGACGAAUCAUUGCAGACAUGAUGAGGUGAGAAGGGUGAGGAGAACCACAUGUUAGGUCUGCGGUGUCAGCAGGGCGGGCCGCAGAGCCUCCCUCGCAGCGGUGCCGGGGGAAGCAGAGGAACAAGGCCAUCCUCCUGCCCUGUGCCCAGCAGGACUGACCGUGCACGGAGCUGCAGCAGCUGCCCUCAGCUCUGGCUGGUGAAGGACGGUGAUGGCAGCUGCCAGCCUCACGACUGCUGAUCAUCCUGCAGCCUCACUGUGGGAGGCUCCACUGCUGACAUCUUUAUAUAUGAUGUUCUCAUUUCAAAAUGCCACUGAACCUUCAAAUGAACACUUGCGUAUGAUCCUGGAAUACAAAAAUACUUAAAUCAAGAUUUUUAUGUUUUGGUGCAGUCAGCCAGAAUGCACAAGAGAAGUGGAAAGGCUUAGCUCUGGCCUUUACCCCAAGAAAGCAGGAAAGGUCCUUCUAAGGAAGAGGCCACUCAUGAGAGAGGCAUGCAGCCAGCAAGGGAUGUCGGGACAUCCGGAGACCCUGCAAGAGGGAGCAGGAAGAGCACCUUCCUGCCUGGAAUCCAGAGAAAAUGCAAAUUCCAAGUCAUGAGAGGAAAGGCCUUAUCUAAGUACCACAAAAAUGCUCCAAGAGAAGGGAAUACAGUCAAGUGAUGCUCUGCCCAUCAUGGGUGGCUUCCUUUCUCUGCAGAGAGGCUUGGGUGGCACCCAGGGUCCUGAGCUGGUGGUACUGAGCAAGGUCAGCAUGAAGACCUGGCGGGUCCUUGGCCACUACCUGCUAGUUUUCUCAUGGUCCUAGUCUCACUGUAAAGGGAGAGAAUGGACAAUUUGUAUGUGGGUGAGGGAGUGUGUAGGGAAACCACACACGUGCGUUGGUCACCCACUGUGCCAAAACUGGGCUAGAUGCUUGGCUGACAUGACUGAGCAUGAUUUUACAGUGAGCUACAUGUUUGCUAUUAUCAUACAUUUUUAGGGAUGAGGAAAUAGAAGCUUAGAGGGUAGUGUAGCCAGCUUGCCACAGCCAUACAUAUGGGGAGUGGCAAAAGCCAGAACGUGAACCCAGAUCCACCUGAUUGAAACCACACCCUCAAGAGGGUCCCCAGAGAUGAGGGAAGAUCUCUGGGAUGAGGGACUGGGUCACAGAUCUAAUCCAGAGGGUGGCCUCUGAAUGUUUAGUAGUGGUUACAUUUUGCCCAAAUUGAUCAAAUGUUUUAAAAGUUUAAAAUUGUAAGAAACACUUGGUGGAAAACUGGUGUGGAGAAAGCCCUUGGUUUAUUUUGGUUUUGUUGGGGAAGCUCUAGAUCUCCCCAUUCUCAGGAUCACUCAGGCCAGUGACCGGCCAGCCUUCCCCAGAAACACAUGGACCUCAGGCGGCGAGGAAGCAGGAGGCAAGGCUGCUGGGAAUUUCCAGACCAGAAGCAGCAUGGAGAAUGGUCCCACUGGCUGAAAAAGUCACAUGGCAUGUCAGUCACUUUAGGCUAUGUUUUGUUUAUUUGGAUCAGGGACAAGAAUUUAACCUUCAAAUUUAACCUUCAAUUAAACCUUAAACCUUCUAUUUAAACUUCAAAACUCAGCUCAGAUUAUCACCUCCAAGAAAUCCUCCCCAGAUGCCAAGAAAUAGGCUUCAAAGCCGUGUGUGGACCCUGGGCCUAAACUACACUUGAGUUCUGUAGCACUGUAUGGUUAUAGUAUAUCAUGUGCCCCCGUGAGGCAGCAAGCUUUGUGAGAGCAGGGACCAAAGCAGACACCACGGCUGUGGAAGAAUUGCAGAGAUAAAGUGACUGAACACAUGAAAUGUGCAGGAGGAAGGAAAAGCAGGCUGCAUCUGGGACCAGCCAUCCGAAGACAGUUGCCCAUCCAGACUGCUGGCCCCCCACGUGCUCCAAAGCCAAGUGAGUGGCUGGCAAAGGGGCCUCCUUGGAAUCCUUAUCUGGAUUGGUGUGUGGGGCUGGUCAACUAGAGGGCAAGGCUGCUCAGCUCAAGCAGUCCUUUGCCUGGGUUUCUCUGUUUGUCUAGCCCACCGGGAGUUUCUUUCCUGAAAAAAGCUUUUAAAGCAGCAGCAAAAGCUGCCAUCCUGAAGGAUGUGCACAGUGACCUCACUCCCACCUGGCUGAUCCGUGACCGUGGACUGGAGUGUUGGUGCCACAUGGCUGGGCUUGGAAAGAUCCUGUUCUCUUCUCAAAUCCUUCCAAGGCUCAUCAGAGGGAAAGGGAAAGUGAGAUGAGGCACAGAGGCCGAAGAAGGAAAGGAAGAGACAGAGGGACAGAGAUGGCAGAAGAGAGAGCUGACUGGACAGCUAAGGAGAAUCACCUGCAGGAAGGGAAGGUGCGGGCUUCACCUGAACUUGGUGUAGGAAACCAAAGUCCAGCAACCACUGUCACAAGCGGGCCCUGUCUUGUCCAGCUCCAUUUUCUCACCUAUAGAAAAAUCGUAAAAAGUAUUUUACUCUUUUGUCUAAUACUCAGUUCCCCUGAGGAAUAUUUUUGUUUUGCUUUGUUUUGUUGUUUUUUUUAAAAGGAAAAAUGUUCACAGAAGGUUAUAAAACACAUAUAAUUUACUCACGGUAAUUGCCCACAUGUUAUUUAUGUGCCGUGCUGGCAGUGAAACAGAGAAGAACGACUUGAUCAAUGCAUUAGUCUAAUCACAGGGUUCCUGCUCUUAAUUUCUUUUGUUGGUAAUUUCCAUACUCGGGCAGCAAUGCGUAGAAUUAUCUCGAUUUACAGAUCUUGGGACCCUGGGGAAAAUCUCUUUGGAGCCAUUUCUGUCUCCUGGGGAAUCUGAUAUUUAUUCAAUACUGAGUUUGAAAGUCCUAUAAUAUGUAUUCAGCAACGCCAAAUAACUCCGUAGAAAUUUAGUGGGUCUCCAUGACAUUUUCUCCUUUUUAAUUGGAAAUUUGUGGGGGCUAAGAAAUAGAUCACAGAACACGAUUAAGAACAACUUUCGGUCAAUGGGAAGUCAUGACUUGGCAGACUUGGUAUUUGUCAGGAGAGUAAUACACACAAACCAACACAUGCUGCUUCUUUCUUUCUAAAGUUAUGAAAAUCCUUUGCUUUGCCCAGCUGGUAACACAAUACUCUGAGGCAAAGUACUUGUGGUAAGCCUAUUGGAAGCUGUGGGAGAAGCGCCCUGUAACUUCAGUUAGCUUGGUACCCCUGUAACUUCUUGACAGGAGAGGCAGCGCACGUCAGCCGGGCCACUGACAGGCCUUCUCACCUCACAGUUGCCAAGGAAUGGGGAGGAGGGGACGAGCAUAACUUCUGUCCCCAGGGUCUGCACCUUGGUUUGUUCCAGUGCCUACAGGCCCAGGUUGCAAUCCUUCAAACUGCCAAGCAGGUGUGGAAAACCGCAGUCCUUCUGCUGAACAAAGCCCUUCAGAGGGGCCCGUGGACAGGUGAGGCCUCCUUACCUGACACAAUAUCACAGGCGGUCCAGUCUCUGAACCUCAAAGGAAAUGCCAGUGGGACCAGAGAGAAGAUGGGUGGGCAGCCUGGAAGGUCUGGGAAUUCAGGCCAGUAGUCAAGACCAACAUUCUCAUGCCACCAGCGCUCACCCAGUGAUGAUAAUAACUGUCUCUGUUGGUCCUGGCACUUCAUGGUUAGCAUCUUGUAUGAUCUCAACAACCUCAGGGGUAGAUGAUAGUAAUAUUUUCAUUUUAGAGACAAGGAAACAAGUCUGAGAGGUUAAGGCACACUGAGAGAGAGAGGGUUUAAAUCCAGAUUCUGAUUCCACAAAUGCAUUUCAUACCUUAGCAGGCCUGUUGUCACUUGUUAGAAACAACCAGCAAAACAGCUGACCUCUCUUGGGCAGUAGGAUGACCAUCUGCCCUGGUUUGCAGGGGACUGUGAGGUUUCCAGGGCAUGAGACUUGCAAUUCUAAAACUGGGAACAUCUGGACAAACUGGGACAAGUUGGUUUCCUGAUCUGGAAGUAAAACUAAAAUGUAAGCUAUUAUAGGAGUGUUAAUACCCCAAAAAGUAAGGAAAAAAUAGCAAACCAGUGAUUCAGGAUGGGAUGCAUUCUUCUAGUGAGUUUCGUUUGGCCUGCAUAGUGUUCCUAAGUCAUUAAAUGGGAUAUGUUUGAAAUUCAGGAGAUUCCAUAUGGUAACUUAGAUCCUAGAAAAUGAAAAAUCAGGUCUCAGAGGGCUGCAGUCCCUGCAAGGCUGAUGGCAGUGCCUGCUCUGUGUGACACUUACUUUACUAGUUCCUGUCCAGCCCACCUCCCUCAUCAGACCUCCUGCCUGGCUCUUUUAGACACUUGAGUUUGAGGUAGAGAGUUUGGCAUAGGGAGUGUUACCGCACGGCAACCAGGAAGCAAAUCCCAAUUGGUCCCCAAAAUAUUUCAUCUAUUUUUAAGUUCUUUCUCUCUAGGCCUUAGUUUCCUUUCCAGGUUGAAUAUUCCAGGGCCCCACGCAAAACAGAGCAAGUUUUUAAGACAGAAUUCCAAACAACUUUCAAACCUUCAUGAGGUUUGCAUGGUCCUAAUUACAGUUUACGGUGAGAGCUUUUGAGGACUGGGGCUGGGGAAGAGCCUUCUGAAUCGCCAUGAAAAUGAGUAUGUUCAUGCAAGGGUUAUUGUUUAAAACUGCAUCAACAUAUAGCUGACAAUUAGGUAGGAUCUCAAGCUUGGAAAUCAUGUGUGUGCAUAUAUUAUUUCAUUUCCUGUUCACACCAAUUGUGUGUGCACGGGACAAUGUUAUUUUCAUUUGAGGGAUGAAGCCCAGAGAGGGUAAACUGCUCUAGCCCAGCACUUUCAACUCAGAGUCUCAUUCUUUUCUCCCCAUUAUGUGGUAGAUCUUUAUUAACCAGAAUGUCCAAUUAACCAGAAUAUGCCUUUGUCUUGAAAAUCAUUCCAGACUGAUUUUCUUUAUAGGAAAUUCCCAUGGAGCUCCAGCCUUUUUCUGCACCUCUUUUUAUUAGCCAUAUGUUUGUCUGCAGCCCAGUGAGGCCCACAUUUCAGGGCCUGCACUGCAGAUCUUAUUACUAUGGGCCAGGCAGGUUGUGGGUGCAGGCCUGCAACUGCUGCACCUCCCUGGUGGACAGGCAGCCUCAGUAACUCCCUUUGAAGCUCAGUCGCUCAGAAGCUUGACAGAGACAACAACCCAGGUGAACCCUAUUCUUCAUGACCAAGUCAGGAAACCUUCCGGAUGUUCUUGCUGUUCACCCUGACCUUCGGUCUUACCCUUCUGGCUGAACGAGACAAACAGCUCCUCUCUGCUUAGCUGUGUGCAGCUUAACGAAUGCGUAUGAAGACCAUAUAAAUAAUUCACAUCACUCAAGAGGUGGUGAGCAGAACAAGUCCCUUCUGGUUACAUUUAUUUAAAGAUAAGGUGAAACUAAGUGAGUGAUGGCCCAGUUACAAAGGCCAGGGUCCAAAGGGGAUUGGGACACUCUAAGUUACACCACUAGAGUGAUUUGUGCAGAAUUAUGUCAGCUUUGAGAUCCUGGCACCUUGGGGGAAAAGGAAAUGUAUUAUCUCAAAGAAAAGUGAUACACGAUGACUAUGAGCUAAUUCUACAGAAUUCAGUUUGGCUCUGGCAGGAACAAAAUUUCUGUUUCAAUCUAAAAGGACCUUUGAAUUAGCAACCUUGCAAAUGUUAUCUUCACUUGGAAAUGUCCUUUAGGGACUCAUCAGAAACAUGUCCCAGCUUCCUGGUGUGGGUCCUCCAGGUCCAGUUUCCUCCCAAAAGAAAAACUGGUGAACCUCCAAUGGGUCUAGAGGAUCUUGAUUUGAAUCACCUGAUGGGAAAAACAUUGUUUAGGAGAUCAAGUGAGGGCAGCGUCCAUGCUCAAAUGCUCAACUAGAAAAGGUGAGGUGCCUGUAGACCUGCACACUUCUCAACGGGCAAGGCGGGAGGAACACUGCUUCUCCUGUGUUGAUUUUACCUUUCUAAUACUGUAGCCACAUGUUCUAAUUUUUCCUCCUCCCUUUUCCCACAGCACCCCCUAAAUAUUUCCAUGGAAGACUUUUAGAACUUUGUAAUAAGGAAAUUGUAUUGCCAGCUGACAAUAAA